AUGCGUGCAGGCAUAGAGGAGGUCUUUGCGUUGGCAGUGCACAGGCACUGCAGGUGGCAUAUUAUUAAGAAGGCUGAGGAGACGCUAGGACCAUUCUUUGUUGACCGUCCAGAGCUGCACAGGGCAUUCGAGUUAUGCGUGGACCACAGUUUGAUGGUGGAGGAGUUUGAACGGAGCUGCACGGCUAUGAUUGAAACAUACCAAGUCCAAGACAACGAGACACUUACUAGCCUGUGGGAGAAGCUAAUGUACUGGGUCCCGGCCUACUUCAUGCAGUGCUUCUUCCCAUUUCUGCAGACUACUCAGCGCAGCAAGGGGUUCAAUGCUGUUUUGAAGCGGUACGUGAGCCCUGGCAACUCAUUGCUACAGUUUGCCAAGCAAUACACAACUUUGCAACAGAAAAUACUGGGACCUGAGCUGCAACAAGAAGCAAACACCGCGCUCAAGCAGACUAAAAAGCUAACAUAUUUACCGAUGGAGAGGCAGAUGAGCAAGAUAUAUACCAACAAGAUUUUUAACAAGUAA
rnacentral:rRNA from 1 species